rnacentral:rRNA from 1 species
UACGUAGGGGGCAAGCGUUGUCCGGAUUUAUUGGGCGUAAAGAGCUCGUAGGCGGCUCGGUAAGUCGGAUGUGAAACCUCCAGGCUCAACCUGGAGACGCCAUCUGAUACUGCCGUGGCUUGAGUCCGGUAGAGGAGCAGGGAAUUCCUGGUGUAGCGGUGAAAUGCGCAGAUAUCAGGAGGAACACCAGCGGCGAAGGCGCUGCUCUGGCCGGUACUGACGCUGAGGAGCGAAAGCGUGGGGGGAGCGAACAGG